UUGGCGGAAUGGUUUCAAUCGGCCCGUCUAGGAACACGGACCAAGGAGUCUAACAUGUGUGCGAGUCGGUGGGUGACAAACCCACGAGGCGCAAGUAACCUGACUGAGCAAAUUCGACCGACCAUGAUCUUCUGUGAAAGGUUUGAGUGCGAGCAUACAUGCUGGGACCCGAAAGAUGGUGAACUAUGCCUGAGCAGGGCGAAGUCAGAGGAAACUCUGAUGGAGGCUCGUAGCGAUACUGACGUGCAAAUCGUUCGUCGGAUUUGGGUAUAGGGGCGAAAGACUAAUCGAACCAUCGAGUAGCUGGUUCCCUCCGAAAUUUCCCUUAGGAUAGCUGCAACUUGUACAGUUUUAUCAGGUAAAGCGAAUGAUUAGAGGAAUUGGGGACAGGUUUGUCCUUGACCUAUUCUCAAACUUUAAAUGGGUAAUCUGUAGUGGUUGCUUUAUGGAACUUCUAAAAUGAAUGGCAAUAUUGGGUGGGCCAUUUUUGGUAAGCAGAACUGGCGAUGAGGGAUGAACCUAAUGCGGGGUUAA
rnacentral:rRNA from 1 species